rnacentral:rRNA from 1 species
UACGGAGGGUGCAAGCGUUAUCCGGAUUCACUGGGCUUAAAGGGCGCGUAGGCGGGCACGUAAGUCAGUGGUGAAAUCUCCGGGCUUAACCCGGAAACUGCCAUUGAUACUAUUUGUCUUGAAUACUGUGGAGGUCAGCGGAAUAUGUCAUGUAGCGGUGAAAUGCGUAGAUAUGACAUAGAACACCAAUUGCGAAGGCAGCUGGCUGCACAAAUAUUGACACUGAGGCACGAAAGCGUGGGGAUCAAACAGG